CCUACGGGGGGCAGCAGUGAGGAAUAUUGGUCAAUGGGCGCGAGCCUGAACCAGCCAAGUCGCGUGAGGGAGGACGGCUCUACGGGUUUUAAACCUCUUUUGCCGGGGAGCAACGGGCGCCACGUGUGCCGUCACUGAGCGUACCCGGAGAAAAAGCAUCGGCUAACUCCGUGCCAGCAGCCGCGGUAAUACGGAGUAUGCGAGCGUUAUCCGGAUUUAUUGGGUUUAAAGGGUGCGUAGGCGGAUCGUUAGGUCAGUGGUCAAAUCGAGGGGCUCAACCCCUUCCCGCCAUUGAAACUGGAGUUCUGGAGUGGAAGAGAGGUAUGCGGAAUGCGUGGUGUAGCGGUGAAAUGCAUAGAUAUCACGCAGAACCCCGAUUGCGAAGGCAGCAUGCCGGCUUCCGACUGACGCUGAGGCACGAAAGCGUGGGGAGCGAACAGGAUUAGAUACCCGAGUAGUC
rnacentral:rRNA from 1 species